rnacentral:rRNA from 1 species
UACGGAGGGAGCAAGCGUUACUCGGAAUUAUCGGGCGUAAAGGGCGCGUAGGCGAUUUGAAAAGUCUUGUGUGAAAGCCCCGAGCUUAACUCGGGAAGUGCACAAGAAACUGUUGAAUUUGAGUUCCGGAGAGGAAGGCAGAAUUCCCGGUGUAGCGGUGAAAUGCGUAGAUAUCGGGAGGAAUACCAGUGGCGAAGGCGGCCUUCUGGACGGAUACUGACGCUGAGGCGCGAAAGCCAGGGGAGCAAACGGG